GACCUGGUGGUGAAAUGUAUCACACCCAUUCCCCUUCCUGUUGAAAUGUUUUCGAUUUUAUGGGAGUUCCUGGUUCAAAUCCAGGUCAGGUCC